AUUUAUGUGUUUUAGUUAUGGUCCGAAUUUAUGCUUUGCUUUCUUUGGCAUUUUUUGGUCGACUUCAUAUAUGGUUAGUGUUGUUAUCAUGAUCAAGAAAUACGUUUCUGACUUAUGAUGAUAACAUUUCGAUCCGCUCUUUCUUACAUGUUUAAGAUGCACUUCCUUUGGUUAUCUUGUCUUAAAUUUCUAUCCAGUUCUUGCUUGAGUUUAGUUGUUUAAUCUUUAUCCAAUUCCCUUCUCGCUCGAGUUUAUUUGUCUAGUCUCGAAGGGUUUGAUAUAGGCAGGGCAACACUUGAUUUAUACAUUUAGUACUGAUAACAACUGUUUUGAAUCAAAUUUUUGCUUUGGACUAGAGUUCCAACCUAUAGUCUUGUUGAAGUUUUUUUUUUAAUUUGUCGAAGUUAGUGAACUAGUCGACUGCUUGCCUUAACACAAGCAUGAAAGUAGUUCUUCCAUUUCCAGCAUGCUUUGAAACUAUUUGUGGUCAUGUUUGCUCUAGAGGUCUGUUUACAAUGUGUUUGAAAGUAGUUGUAGGCCUGAUUACUAACUCAUUUUCAUGCGAUGAAUUGCCGCCCUUGUCUAGAACAUUUUGGUGAUGUGCGAUGGACGGAUCUUGACAUGAAUGUUGCAUUUUUGGAUCAGCAGAUCAUAUUGCUUUCAAUUUGAUUUAGACUGAUUAUAAAUGUUGAGUUGUUGCUUCUUUUAGAUAUCCUUUCUUUCCGUAAAUCGCUGAAUUUUGUUGGGCUUAGUUUUCCAGUAGUUUGUUUGUGCCCAACUCCCUGGAAAUUGUAUCUUGAGGGAAACUUUGACUCUUUACUUGGUUGUUUCUUUCAGUUCAUGAUCAUUUAAGUCUUCCCCUUUGUAUCUGUCAGUUAGUUUCUAUGUUUACUCGUCGGGUCGCAAGUAUGAAGUUUCCUUAGAGCAUGGAUUCAUUAGUUCUUCUUUAGGAACCUACUCUCCAUAAACUGAGUUUGGUGGGAGUUAAACUGCUUGAUUGUCUUCAAAGUUAUUUGAUUAUAAUAGGUCGAGUAUUUUCUAUUCUAAAACAUAAAGAUUGAUUUCGUUCCAAGAAGUUGUCCACAUAGUUUAAGAAGAUGGAUUUUCUCCUUAAACCCUUUUGAUUUUAUUUUAUUUUACUUAGAAAGGGACUACAGGUAAAGGGAAAAUCUGAUCCGAAUACCUUUCCCUGAUAUAUUGUUCGCAUCUUUGGUCGGAUGUUUGUACGUCUUGGUCUCUUUUGAAUGUGUUAUAGCUUGAAGGUCGUGUCUUUAGAGUAAUCCUUUGGUUAAGCUCAAUUUCAAGAAACCAUUAUUGGAAAUGGCUGAACAUUAUAUUAUUAAAUUUUCAGUCAUUUUAAUUUUUCAAUUUGAAACUUUAUAAGUACUCCAAACAGAGUCGUGAUUAAGAGUAUAUACGCGUGCACUUUCGCUUGAAUUAUGUACACCAUAUCUCCAUGACAAAUCUGCCUAUACCAUUGUGAGAUGAUUAUGCCAAGAAACCUUAGAAAUAUUAUGUAGGUCUUCAUGCUUCAACUUAUCCAUAACUUAUAUUUCAUCUUAUAAUUUAAUCGGACUGAGUUUAUUUUAAUUAAGUUUUACUUAUUACUAUUCGAAAAGAUCAAAUCUUUUUUUACCUUCCAUUCCUCAUGACAAACAAAUACUUCUUAAGAAGGAUAAGAGAUGGACCUCUUUAUACCAAUACAUGUUGAUUGUUCUCUUGAAUGAUUUAAGAUAGAAAUACAUGUUUCAUUAAAGAAUAAUAUCACAUCUUUGCUUACGGCUCUUUUACGACACAUUGUUUAAUUCUUUUAUGUUUUCUGGAGUAUAACUUGUAUUCAUGAGUAUCACUUCAAGUUCACAUACUUUGUUUGGUUUAUCCUUUGCCUCAAUAUUAAGUCCUUCUAAUUCUUUUCUUCUUCUUCUUUUUUAUUUUCACAUGUACACUCGGGAGUGCAUUUGGAGUUGUGAUACGACUCCA
rnacentral:lncRNA from 1 species